rnacentral:rRNA from 1 species
GUGGGGAAUCUUAGACAAUGGGCGCAAGCCUGAUCUAGCCAUGCCGCGUGAGCGAUGAAGGCCUUAGGGUUGUAAAGCUCUUUCGUGGGGGAAGAUAAUGACUGUACCCCAAGAAGAAGCCCCGGCUAACUCCGUGCCAGCAGCCGCGGUAAUACGGAGGGGGCUAGCGUUGUUCGGAAUUACUGGGCGUAAAGCGCACGUAGGCGGACUGGAAAGUCAGGGGUGAAAUCCCGGGGCUCAACCCCGGAACUGCAUUUGCAGCUACCAGUCUUGAGGUCGAGAGAGGUGAGGGGAAUUCCGAGUGUAGAGGUGAAAUUCGUAGAUAUUCGGAGGAACACCAGUGGCGAAGGCGGCUCACUGGCUCGAUACUGACGCUGAGGUGCGAAAGCGUGGGGAGCAAACAGGAUUAGAAACCCUGGUAGUCC